rnacentral:rRNA from 1 species
UUAAACGGCCGCGGUAUCCUAACCGUGCAAAGGUAGCAUAAUCACUUGUCCCUUAAAUAGGGACUAGUAUGAAUGGUUAAAUGAGGACUUAACUGUCUCUUUUGUUAGACCAAUGAAACUGAUCCUUUAGUCAAAAAGCUAAAAUAAAACCGUAAGACGAGAAGACCCUGUGGAGCUUAUAAACCAAAUUCAAAGAAAUGACUCUUUUGGUUUUGAGUUGGGGCGACUUCGGAGCAUAAAAAACCCUCCGACAAUUAACCUUUAUUAAGAUCAACACAUCAAAAUAUCUCUCAGACCCGAACUAAAUUAUAAAAGUUCGAUUAAUGAACCAAGUUACCCCAGGGAUAACAGCGCCAUCCCCUUCUAGAGUCCUUAUCGACAAGGGGGUUUACGACCUCGAUGUUGGAUUAGGACAUCCUUAUAGUGCACCCGCUAUAAAAGGUUCGUUUGUUCAACGAUUAAAGUCCCACGUGAUCUGA